rnacentral:lncRNA from 1 species
CCUCCUCCCUCAUUACCUCAUCUGGCACUGCCAGGACCUGGUCUGUUUCAUAUGUGCAAAUACCCUAUAAGAAGUUGUAGACUACUAUGAAUCAUCCCUCGGCCUCCUCUUUAGCAGAUUAAACAAGCUCAGUUCUCUCAGCUGCCCCUCUUUGGCCAGGUGCUGAAGGCCUCCAAUUGUCUCAGCAGUGCUGGGCUGUUCUCUCCCCAGUUUAUUCAAAUCCAUCCUGUACUGGAAGGUCAAAACCAAACACAGUACUCCAGGUGAAGCCUUGCUGGUACACUCAAUUACCCCGUAUAUCUAGGGGCAUGCAGGGCAUGUAAUUUGCCUCCUUGUCCCAACAACCCAAACUCUCUUUGGAGAUGCAGUAAUUUUUCUUUUCUGUUACAUCUGGCUACAGUUUGAGGACAGGAGAUGCUUUGGUGUUUAUGUCAUGAGCGGAGGUGGUGACAAGAAUAAAGACGUGCACAGAUGCACACAUGCUCACAACAGACACAGAAGUGUUGGUGUUGGACAGAAGCUGAAGUAAAAAACACAUACGUGCACCUUCUGUGAGAUCCACGUAAGCCGAAAAUCCCCAGAGGAGCGUUGAUAGUGAAAGGACAGUAACCUUCUCUUUAGCUUAAGACAGUUUUCAGAUGCACUGUUGCUAGUUGCUGCCAAUCCAAAUGGGGUGCUGGGCAGCAGCCCUCUCCGUUGUCUUUCUGCUACAGUCUCAAGGAAGAUCUGUCCCGUGGAGCCUCCCCCCACCUGACCUUACCAGGUGUAUUCCCUUUAUAGUGGGAGAAGAACAGCAAGGGCUUGCAGAGAGUGCUUCAUCUGAAGGGUAUCAUGGAGCUCCCCUGGACUGAGCCACCUGCUGAUGAACCUUCUCUCAGUGUUCAACCCGAAGGCAGCGCUGGAGCUCAGAACUGCCAGAUUCCCUGAGCAGCAUAACUCCCUUGAAGAAAGCUUCUCACCCACGGUAUGGCUCAGGCAGUUUCACUCGGCCGUGCCAGCUCCAGCCUGGGAUCUUGCAAGAAGAGCAGGACAGACGGGCAGGCAGGAUGUGACAGGUCUUUGAGCAUUUCUUGAGACUCAGCUGUGUGGUCCAUCCACCUGCCUGUUGGGUAAAAAUUGUUCUUGAUGCUCUUUCGCCAGAUUCUUAAGAACUUAGGUCUGGGAAAAUGCAAUUACUUUGCUGGAUGCUGACCAGCUAAGAAGCUGAAAUGCAAGGACAUGAAAAUGGGAGGUGGUAAAACUGAAAAUAUUCUCACUGCUGUGCUAUUCAAAUCAGACUGAAAAUGCUGUGAAUCUUAGGAAAAAAAAAAAAUCUAUUUCCAGCAGUUUUCCUAAACCAAGGUCGUCGGUGUGUCUUGGUGGAAUUUAGUGGUCAGCCUUUAGAAACUUUAGGUCUAUUUAAGUCAUGGCUUAACUGUUUUAAUUAUCUGGGCAAGUUUCCACAUCAGAGAAACUAGAAAUUAUUAGAGAAACUGGUUCAUUCGUAUGAUACUGUAACUUUACCAAACCAUCUCUUGUCACUGGGGUAGAUUUUGAUAAACACAAGAAAUACUCUAUCUUGUAGGGGGAACACAAAGAUAAUUCUCACAUUGGCUAUUACUAGGAGAAAUUUCCUCCAAGUGUUAAUUAUGAAAUUGUUUUCAUUAGUAUAAGAAUGUCUCAAUUAAAAGAGCUCUCAAACAGGGCUAUUGUCCUGGCUGAGUUAGCAUCAAAUGAACAGAUCUGUGCUGAGUGCCCUUUUUCAAGCCAGCGUGUAUAAAUUAUCCAGACGUUUGAAACAAAACAAUCAGUUGCACACACAAACCUGUUUUGGUGGACUUCAGCCAGGCCAUUAACACAACAAAGAAAAUAUGUGCUUAUUCAGAUUCUAUUCAUAAUCUAUAUUUCAUAACUUCUAAAGAAGGAAUGGCUUGAAUAACGGCAGUAAUAACAUAUUAGCGAAGUUUCUUGCUGUAAUCUUCAAAGCAAUCUGUCAACUACGGAAAAAUACAGUGUGCUGUUGAGUAUCUGAAACUUUUCACAUGAAUGUAUUGGGGGGGAGAUUGGCAGAAAGGUGCAUCUGU